GUUAUGGUGGUGUAGGUCAUAUUUUAUGAGCAAGACUGGAAUCCCCAGGUAGACAGGGCUCACCGAAUUGGUCAAACAAACCAUGUGUUAUCUAUAAAUCUAGUCACAGAGCAGACGGUCGAAGAGGUCAUUAUGCGUAGAGUAGAGCGCAACGGAAAUUAUAGCUUAGCCAGAAUAUUGUAGGAGAUGAUGUCUUGGAUCAGGAAGGGAAAGAGAUGGCAGGAGCUGAAGCUGGUGACUUGCGAUCUGUUAUACUUGGAUUGCAUAUGCUAGAUCCUGCAGAAAUAACCAAUGUGGAAUCGGAUGAAUAUGAUAGGACUGAGUUGACUGCAAUGGCAGAAACGAUUAUU